CAGCAACAUGCUAUUAUGCCACUUCUGCCACCCCGAGCAAUGCCUAUACUUAAGCAUAUUUCGCAGAAAAGGAUUGUGGGUGAAAAAUCCAAAUUGGGAUACGUGAUCUAGAUAAAAGUAUGUAAUGCAGAUAAUAGCAAAAUGCGGCAAGCACUAAAUAUUCAUCCGUAAUCUUGCCCAAUUCUUUAUAAAAUAUAGUCAUUGCUACAACACAUAUAUAUUCUAUAAAUACCUUCAUUACGUAUUUCAGUUUGCUUUGAUUAACUUGUAUUGUAGUAAAUCAGUUAGUAUUGGUUUUGAUAGCUAGCCCCAAAAAAAGAAGAAUGAUAUACAGAGAUUGAUUCACACCCACAAAAUGAUAGAAAAACCUCGAUUUUUUAUAAUUUUUUUCAUUGAAGUUACCCACUCACUGAAGAAGUAUUUCUGUAGAUAAACAGCCUUAGCUAGUAUGAACAAAAUUAUUUGAGUGUGUGGAGGAUGUGCUGGGAAGCUGUUUGGGGGUUGAGUAUGAGUAUGGGGAGGGAAAGAUCCUAAAGGUUGCAUUUUCACAAUGGAGGUAUAGCUGAUAAUGGUGGGUUAUAUAACAUGUAAGACUAAGUAAACAAAUAUCAUUUAUCUUAUAGUAAUUUUUCUCUCUCCCUUCCUAUCCUCUGCAGAGAGAGAGGACGCCUGCUCAUUCUGGGCAGAGCUGAUUACAGCUCAUGAGUAGUAUUAUCAUUUUUAUUUCAAUGUAUCCUAUCUUCGAAAAAUAAAGUAUUUCUCACAAUAUAAUUAUUAUAUUCAAUAAUUCAAUUAAAAUCAUGAUCCACUGAAUCAUAAGAAUAGUAAAAAUUCUUGCAAAUGAUUUGAAAAUAAAUGGUAUUAGUUCUGGUAGAUCUUAAAGGAUCAAUAUGUUAUUUACAACAGAGUUUGUUGCAAAAGAAAUAAGCCUUUGGAAUCAAAAGCAAUAUGUUAUUCACAACAAACAAAGGAGACACUUCUUAAACCUAGCAAAUCUCUGCAUGGACCGACAACUUUUUCUUACAAUGUAGUAAUUACAUUCAAGAAUUCACCUGAAAUCAUGAUUCACUGGAUCAUGAGAAUGACAAAAAAUUUUCAAAGACAGAUAAAAAUGAUGGCAAACCAUCUCAAAAUAAUGGCAUUAGAUUUGUUAAAAUACGUUAGUUAUCAUCACAUUGAUUCACUAUUAAAGCUGCAGAGACUAGUCAAUUUUAAAAGCUUAGAAAUACAAAGCAAAGCAGAAGCAUUGUAAUUAUCAACUUUGUCUUUUGUUCUCCUUUGGUUCACACCAUCCAACUCUCUCUCUCUCCACCUGAUCCUUUACAUUCGAGAUUUCAUGGACAUGAGUACUAAUUUAACGUACAAAUAUAAAACACUGGCCUAAUUAGUUUUCAGCCUAUUUUUUUUUCUCUUAUACAUGUUCUAAAUUGUGGGUUUCAUAUAAAUAAUAUUUUAAUCCUUAACAAAUUCAGAAUAAUUUAACAUCUUCAAUAUGCCUCUAAUAAUGCAAGUACAACUUUAUGGAUUGCCAAAAUAACUCAAAUCACAAUUUUAGCAAUAACAAUACUGUUGAUUGCCACCGUUGCGUCUAUUAAUUCUCUUAAAUUUU
rnacentral:misc_RNA from 1 species